GACGAACGCUGGCGGCGUGCUUAACACAUGCAAGUCGAACGGAAAGGCCUGCUUUCCCUUGUGGAUUGCGGGUACUCGAGUGGCGAACGGGUGAGUAACACGUGAGUGAUCUGCCCCCAACUUGGGUAUAAGCCUGGGAAACUGGGUCUAAUUCCCGAUAGGACUGCAGGGUGGUGCCUGUGGUGGAAAACGAUUUUCUAGUGGUUGGGGAUGAGCUCGCGGCCUAUCAGCUUGUUGGUGGGGUAAUGGCCUACCAAGGCGGCGACGGGUAGCCGGCCUGAGUGGGUGGACGGCCACAUUGGGACUGAGAUACGGCCCAGACUCCUACGGGAGGCAGCAGUGGGGAAUAUUGCACAAUGGGCGGAAGCCUGAUGCAGCGACGCCGCGUGGGGGAUGACGGCCUUCGGGUUGUAAACUCCUUUCGACCGCGAGGAAGCCACCUGGUUGGAAGGGUGGUGACGGUAGUGGUAGAAGAAGCACCGGCUAACUACGUG
rnacentral:rRNA from 1 species